UAGGAACUGGACCAGAGUUCAGGGGAGCCAU
rnacentral:piRNA from 1 species